UUUUGGGAUAAUGUAACAAAUUAUUUGAAUCUUCUUUGCUGCCAGAUUUAUUAGAAUAUCUUGAAUAUUAAUUUCAAGGUCAUGAAUUUCUGGAAGACCAAGACAUUGUUAUUUUAUUAUACUUCUUCUGUUGUAGCAUGGAGAAGUCUUUUGAGAUUGAUCAACUGAAUAAUGACAAAAAUAUAACCGUUGCUCUGAGCAAACAGUCUGAAGAAGUGAGUUAUUUGCUUUAGCUCAGAAUAUUGUAUGGUUACGCAAAAUGCAAUGAUGCUUUUUAACUUUUACUUUAUAAACCAUUUAGAUGUUGAGUUCAAAUUCAGAGAUGUGCGGAAUUCCUCAAUGUGAGGAAGUGAAUGUGCUUCGGAAGGAGCUCAGUUUUCUGAGUAAAGAAAGAGAUGGUUUGUUGACUCGAAUAAAAGAGUAGUCAUAACUUUCAAAUGACUACCAGGUAUUAUCUCCACUCUGUUGUCUACGCACCAGGAUAUAAUGGUCAGGGAGAAAAAUUCAGUAGUAUUGGGGAAGGAACCAACAUUAUUUCUUCAGAACUUAUUCCAUUUGUUUGAUGGAUUGCAUGUUGUCUACAGAGUCUGAACAACCAGCUCCUUGCUAUGUCAAAGGAAAAGGAUAUAUUAGUGACUCAGAUCCAAGAGCAGAAGAAACAUGCAAUUGAAGAAGAAAGUCUCAAUAAACGUUACAAUGACUUGUUAAUGGAGGCAAAGUUUCAAGUAGGAACUGACAAGGAGAAUUUCAAGCAUGGAGCUUAAGAUUCACAAAAGAUCAAGUUUAAAGGUUAUAGAGAAAGCUAAGCUUCGAAUGAGGCUUCCAGGGGGCACAAGCAAGGUUAGAUGCCUUUCGAAGUAGAUACAAGGAAACACGGGACAAGUCCGAUCACAUGAACAGAAAGUUUGAGGAGGCUUCAAAAAACCUAAAGGACCAGUUGGCGACAAAAGGGAGUCGAGGUCCUCAGCCUGAAGAAGCAGCUUGCUGCAGAGGGGUUAUGAACAAAAAUUUAUUAAGAAGUUGUAGAGCAUGAUUAUGUCUUGUGUACUAUUUAAUGAAAAUAUAAAAGUUAGUACGAAUGAGUGUCUUGUGCAGAGCUAUGAACCAUGACAAUUUAACGUACUACAAU